CGGGUGACACAGUGACAGAGUGAGGGAGCGGGUGACACAGUGACAGAGUUAGGGAGGGAGUGACUAGUGACAGAGAGAGGGAUGGGGUGACUAGUGACAGUCACCCCCCCUCACUCUGUCACUAGUCACCCCUUCCCUCCCUCACUUUGCCACUAGUCAUCUCUUCCCUCCCUCACUCUGCCACUAGUCACCCAUUCCCUCACUCUGCCACUAGUCACCCAUUCCCUCACUCUGUCACUAGUCACCC